AUUGAACGCUGGCGGCAGGCUUAACGCAUGCAAGUCGAGCGGGGUGAUGGUGCUUGCACUAUCACUUAGCGGCGGACGGGUGAGUAAUGCUUAGGAAUCUGCCUAUUAGUGGGGGACAACAUCUCGAAAGGGAUGCUAAUACCGCAUACGUCCUACGGGAGAAAGCAGGGGAUCACUUGUGACCUUGCGCUAAUAGAUGAGCCUAAGUCGGAUUAGCUAGUUGGUGGGGUAAAGGCCUACCAAGGCGACGAUCUGUAGCGGGUCUGAGAGGAUGGUCCGCCACAAUGGGACUGAGACACGGCCCAGAAUCCUACGGGGGGCAGCAGUGGGGAAGAUUGGACAAUGGGGGGAACCCUGAUCCAGCCAUGCCGCGUGUGUGAAGAAGGCCUUAUGGUUGUAAAGCACUUUAAGCGAGGAGGAGGCUCUUUUGGUUAAUACCCAAGAUGAGUGGACGUUACUCGCAGAAUAAGCACCGGCUAACUCUGUGCCAGCCGCCGCGGUAA
rnacentral:rRNA from 1 species